GUGUAGUUUUCUAGUUUUCUGCUUUAUUCUGUAUUUUAAAGUGAAUUGAAUGCAUUAUUCUUUAUGUAAUCUUAAAUCUGUGCAUUUGUGUUCAUUUUUCGAACAAUAAUCUGUCCCUGCUAACCGGUAUGCGAGUUCGAGAAGCCGUAAGUCCCAAUGCUGCAAAGUAUGUCUUGGGCCUCUAUGGGAGCAUGCGUGCCACUGUUUCAUUAACGGUGGAAAAAUGAAGGUCGUUACGGACCUACCAGUAGCUACGCCUGAAGUUGCCAUAGUUACCAUUAGUACACCAUCAUCACGCGAGGACGAAGAUUGCAAGGAUAGCUUCGUAACCUACGGAAAGUUGACAGUGACCUGCAGCGAACUAUGGCGUGUUGAGUCUGACCUCUACUCAAGCCGAACGCAACUGUGUUCUACCCAACGGGAGUAAUGUUGCAUCACUUGUAAAUACAUAGAUAAUGAGAAGCCGUGCGAUAUCAUUAACAACGACACAAACGAGGUUGUUUAACUCGAGGAUUCUGGGGCAGUACUCUCAAAUAGCCAGACCGGAAGUGACGUCAGCAAAUCGGAUGAAGAGAACGAGGUUUUUAAACUCGAGGAUUCUAAGACAGUAAUAGCCAAUAUACAGACCGGAAGUGACGUCAGCCAAUUGGAUGGUGCUAAUACUUUUCCAGAAUCGCCAGACGAUGUCGUCCAACGAAUGAUUGGUGAUUUCAUGCGACAACAAGGCGAAGAGAGCAUACAUCUGCUUUCAUUGUUCAAACAAUCAUUAUCGAACCUAGUUUCAAAGUCCAUGCAGAUCCCGAAAUAAAAUACGCCCAGAUAUUGUAUUGAUUAAAAUAAUUAAAAAGCUUCGCAAUGUGUAUAAGCUCAACACAAAAACUUGAAGAGGACUGCUAAUUGCCAACAAUAAACGAUUGUGCACGCUUAUUUCUACUUAGUCAUGAAAAGCUUGAAUACCAAACAACCACUGUAUGUUCGCAAUGAAAGUUUAAACAGACUUUCGUAGGUUAUAUGUGUCGUGUUCUGAUAAAACUGGGCAUAAUGCAUGUGCGUAAAGUGUCAUCCCAUAUUAGCCUGUGUAGUCCGCACAGGCUAAUCCGGGAUGACACUUUCCGCUCAACUGGAUUUUCGCUUAAAAGAGACAUCAUUUAAACGAACAAUUACAUAAAAGCAAACAUUAUCGUCCCUGAUUAGCCUGUGCGGACUGCACAGGCUAAUCUGGGAUGACAAUUUACGCACAAGCAAUUUGCCCAGUUUCCUCAGAACACGACUCAUAUGUCCCAUGUGCAUUACACUAAGUCGGCUUAUUUGUUAUAUAGUUCAUCCCAUAAGCACACUGUGUAAGGUUUACUUGAACUCUAUUGGGCAUAAAAUAUGACUAAGUCCCAGGGUGGGCACGAAAAACCCGCCCGCGGGAAAACCCGUCAGGAAAACCCGGAUUUUCCCGCCCCGGGCAAUACUCUGAAAGUGGGCAAUACUGGGCAAUACUGGUCAAUACUAUAUUUUCUUCAUUAAACAUGCAGUUGUUAUUGUUUUUUAUCAUCCUUACUUCUCUGCUAGCCUCUAUUGUAAAGAAAAAAGAGUGAAUGCCGAGUCUAUUUCUGAGCUUUGUCUGUAUAGUUCCAAAAUCAAAGCAUGUUUUCACAGUUUAUGGCAGGGCCCUUAUUGGCACUUAACUGUGUAUCUUUUAUGGCCCCAAAUAAACAGCGGCCUUUGUCUGGCCCUAAUAGGACCCUUAUCUGGCACAAAUAGGUCCAAUGUUUAUCUAAGUGGCCCAGUGUUAUUGUUAGUUGUACAAACUGUGUGAGUGUCAUAAAUGAUGACACAAAACUGUGUUAAUUAGUUCAAACACUCAAUUGGGGCAUGGGUCUUUACGCAAUAUGAGAUCAACUAAAUUAUUUGCAUGAUAACAAAAUAUAUAUUACAUGUAUAAUCCAUAAUUUCUGUACCCAUUACCAUUUUCCUUCAUAGAUACCAUUCUGUUACAUAUCAUAUCAUAUUUGUAGAAAAAUAAUGUGAGUUAAUAAAAUGUAAAUCAGAUAAAACACAGAUACCAAGUUAUACCCAGUAUUGUCC